GUGCCAGCAGCCGCGGUAAUACGUAGGGGGCAAGCGUUGUCCGGAUUUAUUGGGCGUAAAGAGCGUGUAGGCGGCUUGGCAAGUCCGCUGUGAAAACUCGAGGCUCAACCUCGAGACGUCGGUGGAAACUGCCUCGCUAGAGUCCGGAAGAGGAGAGUGGAAUUCCUGGUGUAGCGGUGAAAUGCGCAGAUAUCAGGAAGAACACCCGUGGCUAAGGCGGCUCUCUAGUACGGUACUGACGCUGAGACGCGAAAGCGUGGGGAGCGAACAGGAUUAGAUACCCUGGUAGUCC
rnacentral:rRNA from 1 species